rnacentral:lncRNA from 1 species
GGGUCGACAAUUCUCAUAUAGGCGCUGUCGCCAGGAAUAGGGAGAUUGAUGGCAGUUGCCUAGGCAUCAUCUGACUCCUGUUGUUGUUGCGGUGGCCAGGCUUGUCUCUGCCGAUGUAGGAGGUGUUGGGCCCUUCCUGGCCACUUUAUGCGCCUAGUGACCAAAGCACAGCGAUGUGGGUAAUGACCAGGCAAGAUGAUUCAAGCUCUCCCUUGCCACCAUCGCUGCCCUAGAAAACAGCAGUCCCCAAC